ACGAACGCUGGCGGCGUGCUUAACACAUGCAAGUCGAACGGAAAGGCCCUGCUUUUGUGGGGUUCUCGAGUGGCGAACGGGUGAGUAACACGUGAGUAACCUGCCCUUGACUUUGGGAUAACUUCAGGAAACUGGGGCUAAUACCGGAUAUGAGCUCCUGCUGCAUGGUGGGGGUUGGAAAGUUUCGGCGGUUGGGGAUGGACUCGCGGCUUAUCAGCUUGUUGGUGGGGUAGUGGCUUACCAAGGCUUUGACGGGUAGCCGGCCUGAGAGGGUGACCGGCCACAUUGGGACUGAGAUACGGCCCAGACUCCUACGGGAGGCAGCAGUGGGGAAUAUUGCACAAUGGGCGGAAGCCUGAUGCAGCAACGCCGCGUGCGGGAUGACGGCCUUCGGGUUGUAAACCGCUUUCGCCUGUGACGAAGCGUGAGUGACGGUAAUGGGUAAAGAAGCACCGGCUAACUACGUG
rnacentral:rRNA from 1 species